AUUGAACGCUGGCGGCAGGCCUAACACAUGCAAGUCGAACGAGUGGCGGACGGGUGAGUAAUGUCUGGGAAACUGCCCGAUGGAGGGGGAUAACUACUGGGAACGGUAGCUAAUACCGCAUACCAUCGGAUGUGCCCAGAUGGGAUUCGCUAGUAGGUGGGGUAAUGGCGCACCUAGGAGAAGGUCCCUAGCUGGUCUGAGAGGAUGACCAGCCACACUGGAACUGAGACAAGGUCCAGACUCCUACGGGAGGCAGCAGUGGGGAAUAUGGCACAAUGGGGGCAAGCCUGAUGCAGCCAUGCCGCGUGUAUGAAGAAGGCCUUCGGGUUGUAAAGUAAUUUCAGCGAGGAGGCGUUACUCGCAGAAGAAGCACCGGCUAACUCCGUGCCAGCCGCCGCGGUAAUAC
rnacentral:rRNA from 1 species